rnacentral:rRNA from 1 species
AACCAGCUCUUCAAGUGGUCGGGAUGAUUAUUGGGCUUAAAGUGUCCGUAGCCGGUUUAGUAAGUUCCUGGUAAAAUCAGGUAGCUUAACUAUCUGUAUGCUAGGAAUACUACUAUACUAGAGGGCGGGAGAGGUCUGAGGUACUAUAGGGGUAGGGGUGAAAUCUUAUAAUCCUUGUAGGACCACCAGUGGCGAAGGCGUCAGACUGGAACGUGCCUGGCGGUGAGGGACGAAAGCCAGGGGAGCGAACCGGAUUAGAUACCCGGGUAGUCCAGGCCGUAAACGAUGCAUACUAGGUGAUGGCCCGGCCAUGAGCCGUGUCAGUGCCGUAGGGAAACCGUUAAGUGUGCCGCCUGGGAAGUACGGUCGCAAGGCUAAAACUUAAAGGAAUUGGCGGGGGAGCACCACAAGGGUGAAGCCUGCGGUUC